GGGACUGUAUCUUAAUGGUAGAGUGCUUGCCUAGCAUGUAUGAAGCCCUGGGUUCGAUUCCUCAGUACCA
rnacentral:tRNA from 1 species